GUUUGUGGCUGAGUGGUAGAGCGCUCACCUAGCACAUGCGAAGCCCUGGGUUCGAUCCUCAGCAGCACA
rnacentral:tRNA from 1 species